rnacentral:rRNA from 1 species
UAAUACGGGGGGAGCAAGCGUUGUUCGGAUUUACUGGGCGUAAAGGGCGCGUAGGCGGUCAGCACAAGUCAGUUGUGAAAUCUCCGAGCUUAACUCGGAAAGGUCAACUGAUACUGUGCGACUAGAGUGCAGAAGGGGCAACUGGAAUUCUCGGUGUAGCGGUGAAAUGCGUAGAUAUCGAGAGGAACACCUGCGGCGAAGGCGGGUUGCUGGGCUGACACUGACGCUGAGGCGCGAAAGCUAGGGGAGCGAACGGGAUUAGAUACCCCGGUAGUCCUAGCCUUAAACGAUGAAUGCUUGGUGUCUGGGGUUAUAUAGUCCCCGGGUGCCGUCGCUAACGCUUUAAGCAUUCCGCCUGGGGAGUACGGUCGCAAGAUUA